rnacentral:lncRNA from 1 species
UUUUAUGUUUUUCAAAAAAUGUUUUAUUUCAUAUUUUCUCCUGCUUUUCCUGAGCUGUAUAAAAAGUUUUAAAAUGUCAAUUAUACCUCAUCGAGGCCUUAAAAAAAUGUCUUUAGAGCUCUUAGAAUUUCAGAAUUGUGGAUAAAGGUUUAUGGCUGUGUGUGUGCUCCUUUAACCAUGUACUCCAUCCCUUUUAUCCCUUUUGUGUGGUAGUUGGGACACAGGCGAGAAAUAGAUCUCUCAGGACUGUUUGGAGUUUGGCUACAUAGGCAAAGAUAAAAGUGCUCUCAUGUUGUGAAUAUCGUGCUAACAUUCUUCCUUGCCUUCUACCUGCUCUUGAAAUAUGAUGUGCUGAGACUCAAGACUGGUGAUAUUGGCUAGCAGAGACCACCUAUGGUAUAUUUGCUUUGUGUAAGAAUAAAAUGUCUACGUGUUUUUGUUUACAUUUUUGUAGCAAUACCAAGUUUCCAGGCCCGAAGAGCAUCCCAGACUAUUGGGACUCCUCUGCCCUGCCAGACCCAGGCUUUCAGAAGAUCACCCUUAGUUCUUCCUCGGAAGAGUAUCAGAAGGUCUGGAACCUCUUUAACCGCACGCUGCCUUUCUACUUUGUUCAGAAGAUUGAGCGAGUACAGAACCUGGCCCUCUGGGAAGUCUACCAGUGGCAAAAAGGACAGAUGCAGAAGCAGAACGGAGGGAAGGCCGUGGACGAGCGGCAGCUGUUCCACGGCACCAGCGCCAUUUUUGUGGACGCCAUCUGCCAGCAGAACUUUGACUGGCGGGUCUGUGGUGUUCAUGGCACUUCCUACGGCAAGGG